rnacentral:rRNA from 1 species
UGGAAGUGGCGGCGUGCUAUACAUGCAGUCGAACGAACUCUGGUAUUGAUUGGUGCUUGCAUCAUGAUUUACAUUUGAGUGAGUGGCGAACUGGUGAGUAACACGUGGGAAACCUGCCCAGAAGCGGGGGAUAACACCUGGAAACAGAUGCUAAUACCGCAUAACAACUUGGACCGCAUGGUCCGAGCUUGAAAGAUGGCUUCGGCUAUCACUUUUGGAUGGUCCCGCGGCGUAUUAGCUAGAUGGUGGGGUAACGGCUCACCAUGGCAAUGAUACGUAGCCGACCUGAGAGGGUAAUCGGCCACAUUGGGACUGAGACACGGCCCAAACUCCUACGGGAGGCAGCAGUAGGGAAUCUUCCACAAUGGACGAAAGUCUGAUGGAGCAACGCCGCGUGAGUGAAGAAGGGUUUCGGCUCGUAAAACUCUGUUGUUAAAGAAGAACAUAUCUGAGAGUAACUGUUCAGGUAUUGACGGUAUUUAACCAGAAAGCCACGGCUAACUACGUGCCAGCAGCCGCGGUAAUACGUAGGUGGCAAGCGUUGUCCGGAUUUAUUGGGCGUAAAGCGAGCGCAGGCGGUUUUUUAAGUCUGAUGUGAAAGCCUUCGGCUCAACCGAAGAAGUGCAUCGGAAACUGGGAAACUUGAGUGCAGAAGAGGACAGUGGAACUCCAUGUGUAGCGGUGAAAUGCGUAGAUAUAUGGAAGAACACCAGUGGCGAAGGCGGCUGUCUGGUCUGUAACUGACGCUGAGGCUCGAAAGUAUGGGUAGCAAACAGGAUUAGAUACCCUGGUAGUCCAUACCGUAAACGAUGAAUGCUAAGUGUUGGAGGGUUUCCGCCCUUCAGUGCUGCAGCUAACGCAUUAAGCAUUCCGCCUGGGGAGUACGGCCGCAAGGCUGAAACUCAAAGGAAUUGACGGGGGCCCGCACAAGCGGUGGAGCAUGUGGUUUAAUUC